AGUGAACGCUGGCGGUAGGCCUAACGCAUGCAAGUCGAACGGCAGCACAGUAAGAGCUUGCUCUUACGGGCGGCGAGUGGCGGACGGGUGAGGAAUACAUCGGAAUCUACUUUUUCGGGGGGGAUAACGUAGGGAAACUUCCGCUAAUACCGCAUACGACCUACUGGUGAAAGCACGGGAUCUUCGGACCUUGCGCGAUUGUAUGAGCCGAUGUCGGAUUAGCUAGUUGGCGGGGUAAAGGCCCACCAAGGCGACGAUCGGUAGCUGGUCUGAGAGGGUGAUCCGCCACACUGGAACUGAGACACGGUCCAGACUCCUACGGGAGGCAGCAGUGGAGAAUAUUGGACAAUGGGCGCAAGCCUGAUCCAGCCAUACCGGGUGGGUGAAGAAGGCCUUCGGGUUGUAAAGCCCUUUUGUUGGGAAAGAAAAGCAGCAGGUUAAUCCGCCGCUGUUCUGACGGUACCCAGAGAAUAAGCACCGGCUAACUUCGUG
rnacentral:rRNA from 1 species